GAUGAACGCUGGCGGCGUGCCUAAUACAUGCAAGUCGAGCGAACGGACGAGAAGCUUGCUUCUCUGAUGUUAGCGGCGGACGGGUGAGUAACACGUGGAUAACCUACCUAUAAGACUGGGAUAACUUCGGGAAACCGGAGCUAAUACCGGAUAAUAUUUUGAACCGCAUGGUUCAAAAGUGAAAGGCGGUCUUGCUGUCACUUAUAGAUGGAUCCGCGCUGCAUUAGCUAGUUGGUAAGGUAACGGCUUACCAAGGCAACGAUGCAUAGCCGACCUGAGAGGGUGAUCGGCCACACUGGAACUGAGACGCGGUCCAGACUCCUACGGGAGGCAGCAGUAGGGAAUCUUCCGCAAUGGGCGAAAGCCUGACGGAGCAACGCCGCGUGAGUGAUGAAGGUCUUCGGAUCGUAAAACUCUGUUAUUAGGGAAGAACAUAUGUGUAAGUAACUGUGCACAUCUUGACGGUACCUAAUCAGAAAGCCACGGCUAACUACGUG
rnacentral:rRNA from 1 species